rnacentral:misc_RNA from 1 species
GAUGAAGAACGCAGCGAAAUGCGAUAAGUAAUGUGAAUUGCAGAAUUCAGUGAAUCAUCGAAUCUUUGAACGCACAUUGCGCCCUCUGGUAUUCCGGGGGGCAUGCCUGUUCGAGCGUCAUUAUAACCACUCAAGCUCUCGCUUGGUAUUGGAGUUCGCGAUCUCGCGGCUCCUAAAAUCAGUGGCGGUGCCUGUCGGCUCUACGCGUAGUAAUACUCCUCGCGAUUGAGUCCGGUAGGUUUACUUGCCAGCAACCCCCAAUUUUUACAGGUUGACCUCGGAUCAGGUAGGGAUACCCGCUGAACUUAAGCAUAUCAAUAGCGGAGGA